GUGCCAGCAGCCGCGGUAAUACGUAGGUGGCAAGCGUUAUCCGGAAUUAUUGGGCGUAAAGCGCGCGUAGGCGGUUUUUUAAGUCUGAUGUGAAAGCCCACGGCUCAACCGUGGAGGGUCAUUGGAAACUGGAAAACUUGAGUGCAGAAGAGGAAAGUGGAAUUCCAUGUGUAGCGGUGAAAUGCGCAGAGAUAUGGAGGAACACCAGUGGCGAAGGCGACUUUCNUGGUCUGUAACUGACGCUGAUGUGCGAAAGCGUGGGGAUCAAACAGGAU
rnacentral:rRNA from 1 species